CUCCACUCAGCUGUGCUAUCAACCAGCCGGGCGUCUACACAGACACGCUUGGCUCUGUCUCGGGGGAGGAAGGUGGGUUUGCCGAAGCCCUGCGAUAGACUGGCGUCCUGUCCAGUUUCAUUAACGUUCAUGAUCAGCCGGAGGAACAACAGGACGUGACAGAAUAAAGGAAAAGCAGGUUUUUAUUGUUGAUUUGGAAGCUGAAGGACGGACGGAGGAACAGAAUAAAGAUAAACCUCGUCCAAUUGCGUCACGCUUCCUCUCCACCAAUGCCGAUCCCCACUCUGAUUGAGGA